rnacentral:rRNA from 1 species
CAGUCGCCGCGGUAAAACAGAGGAUGCAAGCGUUAUCCGGAAUGAUUGGGCGUAAGGCGUCUGUAGGUGGCUUUUCAAGUCCGCCGUCAAAUCCCAGGGCUCAACCCUGGACAGGCGGUAGAAACUACCAAGCUGGAGUAUGGUAGGGGCAGAGGGAAUUUCCAGUGGAGCGGUGAAAUGCGUUGAGAUCGAAAAGAACACCAACAGCGAAAGCACUCUGCUGGGACGACACUGACACUAAGAGACGAAAGCUAGGGGAGCAAAUGGGAUUAGAGACCCCCGUAGUCCCUGUCUCUUAUAC